GCGCACUGGCCUGCCUCCGACGGGGCUCUGUGGGCUGUGGCUUUGGCGACGUGGAGGGCUGCGUCUCCGAUCCCGGCCCGCACUUCGCGAGGGGACUCAUCAUGCCGGAUCGGGCGCUCUACGGCGACCGCUCAGCCGCUGAUCGGCCCGCUGCCCACAACCUGGUUUUUCCGCAACCGGAUGGCAGCAAUUGUCAUUGCUUCACGAUUCGCGGCAGUCAACUUGUCUCCCGCGCUCGUCUCUGCCUCCCGACGCCGCCAGGCACGAAAGGUGCUGCCCGCUGUAAAAUUAGGCAAUCCUCAGGCACGGGCGUCAACAGCGCCCUCCACCCCAGCGGCUCCCAACCCUACCGGCAUCGUCUUCCUCCGCCGCCGCCUCCACCUCCCCAGCUGCGGCUCCUCCGCCUCCUCCACCGCCACCUCCCCAUCUGCGGCUCCUCCGCCACAUCGAUUCCAAGGUCAGCUCCAACCUCUUGUAUACGGCUCCUCCUCCGUAGGCACUUGUAUCCGGCAGCUCCUCCACCGACUCCACCUCUUCCCCCGACGCGCUGGUCGCGGCUGCCACAUCCUCCCCGACGCACAGCUCGCGGCGCACCUGCACUGACUCCACCUCUUUCGCCGUACGAUUGAUUUCUGCAGACUAAAGACGUCCUCAACCUCACAGUCGCCAGGCAUUGCUAUCUCUCCCCAACACUGGGUCCUUCAUGGAUGGUGUUCAAGGCAGCAAGAAUGACUAUGAUUCCACUCAAGACAAACAAGGCGCUACCGUUUCUGGUCUGGAUUCAUACAAGGACGUAGGAUUUAAUGGCGUUCUUGAACCGGAUAUAUGUGGCCCAUCAUCAGAACUGCGAAACGACAUUCAUCAGGGUAAGUCAUUCAUUUACAUGUUAUGCAGUAAUUUCUAGCGACAAUGAUACUGUUGUAGUGUUUAAUAGCUUGGAAUUGAUAUCUUUUUGUUCAUAGAUUCAGUCUCAUAUUUAUGUAGGCAAUUAAUGUUUUCUCUCUCUCUCUCUCUCUCUCUCUUUGCAGAUCUCGUUUCUGUAUUACUAAAUGUUGGAUCCUAUAAAUAAAUUUGGUAGUUCGUAUUACAGUUUGAUGACAACAUAAGGAAGGAAGUUUUUAAUUAUGGAAGAGAUUAUAUCUACGGAGGCUGAGAUCUAGUGCGAUUAUCUUUUUCCUACACCAUAGCUUUUCUAGAUUGAAAAUACCAGAGUCUGCUAAUCUGACCUUAAAGAAGAAAAUGCAUCUGACUUAAAACCAAGAAAAAUUAGUUACUGCAUUGUGUUGUUUUUCUUUUUGCAUACAAUUAAACAGCUUGUUCAUUGGUUACACAAUAUCAGUUGUCAUGUUUAUACUGUCUCAACCAUAUAGGUUUUACUUUGUUUAUUUUGCCCAUUGCUUGGUUCAGUAUAUUAGUUGUUGCUCAUGGGUUUGUUUUGCUCCUUUCAGUAAUCAGUAUAUUAGUUGUCACUCAUGGGUUCGUUUUGCUCCUUUCACUAUCUUAUAUUAUCACCCAGAGUGCUGUAGUAUGUUAAUUGUUCGCCAUCUGGUUGAUUUCACUCCCUGCCCAAAUUCUAUUGCAUUAAUAAUGUGUUUUCGGAGUGCCAGAAUGCAAUCUUCAAUCGACAGCCUUGGAAUCUGUCAGAUGUACAAGGUUAAAGAUCCUCUCUUUUACUCUAUUAUGUCUAUUAUCUAAAUAGAAAUUAGUUUUUGGCGGCGGCCGGAAGAGGUGGCGGCGGAGGAAGAUGGCGGGCAGGCCGGAGGAGGUUGCGGCGGAGGGUGAACCAAAAUAAGUCGCGGCGAACUCGCCAGAACUAGGCGGCGGCGUCGGCGGGCGGCCAAAUCCGAAGGUAGGGCAGCGCACGGGAAAAUGCCUGGAGGCAAGCCGCGCGAGGCACGCAGGCGGACGGCCGGUCAACGAAGUGAGGCAGGUUCUGCACGAAUGUUAAAGCUGGACGGACGGGUGGAGAUAAAGAGAGGUACACCAACCGGUUGUGGGAAUGAUUUUUCGCUGCCCACGUACACACGAGCAUGGCGGUGCGCCAGCGGUGGCACGUAAUUUCUUAUGAAUUUUCCUUUCUCGAAAACGGGGCAGGAAUUAUAACUUUAGUUAGUUAGUUGAUCAUACCGCACUAGGUGUGCACCAAGCACCUCCUCCGGUUCUUCUGAGGGUUACUCCCUCCGUCAAGUUAUUCCAAAAAUCUAGAGUUAAAAAGUA